AGUCACUGACAUUAGAUACCCCCGUAGUCCAGGGUGUAAACGCUGCAGACUUGGUGUUGGGAACCCUUCGGGGGUGCUCAGUGCCGGAGAGAAGUUGUUAAGUCUGCUACUUGGGAGUACGUCCGCAAGGAUAGAAACUUAAAGGAAUUGGCGGGGGAGCACCGCAACGGGAGGAGCGUGCGGUUUAAUUGGAUUCAACGACCGAAAACUCACCAGCAGCGACUGUUACAUGAAAGUCAGGUUGAUGACCUUACUAGAUUUUCAG
rnacentral:rRNA from 1 species